rnacentral:rRNA from 1 species
AACGAACGCUGGCGGCAUGCCUAACACAUGCAAGUCGAACGAGACCUCCGGGCCUAGUGGCGCACGGGUGCGUAACGCGUGGGAACCUGCCCUUAGGUCCGGAAUAACUCCCCGAAAGGGGUGCUAACCCCGGAUAAUCUCUUCGCACCAAAGAUUUAUCGCCUUUGGAUGGGCCCGCGUUCGAUUAGCUAGUUGGUAGGGUAAAAGCCUACCAAGGCGACGAUCCAUAGCUGGUCUGAGAGGAUGAUCAGCCACACUGGGACUGAGACACGGCCCAGACUCCUACGGGAAGCAGCAGUGGGGAAUAUUGGACAAUGGGCGAAAGCCUGAUCCAGCAAUGCCGCGUGAGUGAUGAAGGCCUUAGGGUUGUAAAGCUCUUUUACCCGGGAUGAUAAUGACAGUACCGGGAGAAUAAGCUCCGGCUAACUCCGUG